rnacentral:rRNA from 1 species
CCUACGGGAGGCAGCAGUGGGGGAUAUUGCACAAUGGGGGAAACCCUGAUGCAGCGACGCCGCGUGGGUGAAGAAGCGCCUCGGCGCGUACAGCCCUGUCAGCAGGGAAGAAAAUGACGGUACCUGAAGAAGAAGCCCCGGCUAACUACGUGCCAGCUGCCGCGGUAAUACGUAGGGGGCAAGCGUUCUCCGGAUUUCCUGGGUGUAAAGGGGGCGCAGACGGCGAUGCAAGCCAGGAGUGAAAGCCUGGGGCCCAACCCAGGGACUGCUCUUGGAACUGCUUGGCUAAAGUGCAGGAGGGGCAGGCGGAAUUCCUGGUGUAGCGUGGAAAUGCGUAGAUAUCAGGAGGAACACCGUUUGCGAAGGCGGCCUGCUGGACUGCAACUGACGUUGAGGCCCGAAAGCGUGGGGAGCAAACAGGAUUAGAUACCCGGGUAGUC